CCGAUAUAGAUAAUAUUUGAAGCAGAUAAGUACAUUUCGUGGAUAUUAAAAAUUUUGCUUGACUGUAAGUUGCAAGUUGUGAUACAUUGACAACCACCGCUCGUCCCAUCGUUGCUACACUGCCUCUCCAAAGAGUGGAAAUUGCAUAUAUACAACAUCAAGAUCGAUAAAAGGAAAACUCGUUUUACAUCAAUGAUAUAAGGAAGAACAAAAGGGGAAAAAUUGUUAAAAAAAUAAUAUCGUAUAUCACGCAACUAUAGAAUGAAACGAUGAUAAUAACCUUUCGGUAAUCUGCCAUCGGCCGUCAUUCUUACGAGGGCGACUUCUGCUGGUGUACCAACAAAGGCUCCAAUAGCUCCUGCUGUAGCUGCCAUCAGUGACAUUACACCAAAAUUUGGUUUGCCCACGUACUUUUCUCUGAAAAUAUUGCUCAUAAUCAAAGACAUGUAAAAAUAGAAAGAAAACAUAGUUACCCGGUCGCAAAUAAAUUAUUUUCCACUCA